rnacentral:rRNA from 1 species
UUCCUACGGGGGGCUGCAGUGGGGAAUUUUGGACAAUGGGGGCAACCCUGAUCCAGCCAUGCCGCGUGAGUGAAGAAGGCCUUCGGGUUGUAAAGCUCUUUCGGCCGGGAAGAAAUCGCAUCUCCUAAUACGGGGUGUGGAUGACGGUACUGGAAGAAGAAGCACCGGCUAACUACGUGCCAGCAGCCGCGGUAAUACGUAGGGUGCGAGCGUUAAUCGGAAUUACUGGGCGUAAAGCGUGCGCAGGCGGCGCCAUAAGACAGCUGUGAAAUCCCCGGGCUUAACCUGGGAACUGCGGUUGUGACUGUGGUGCUUGAGUGCGGCAGAGGGGGGUGGAAUUCCACGUGUAGCAGUGAAAUGCGUAGAGAUGUGGAGGAACACCGAUGGCGAAGGCAGCCCCCUGGGUCGACACUGACGCUCAUGCACGAAAGCGUGGGGAGCAAACAGGAUUAGAUACCCGAGUAGUCC